rnacentral:rRNA from 1 species
CCUGGUGAUAUUGGCGGAGCGCCCACACCCGAUCCCAUCCCGAACUCGGCCGUGAAAGGCUCCCGCGCCGAUGGUACUGCGUCUUAAGACGCGGGAGAGUAGGUCAUCGCCAGGC